rnacentral:rRNA from 1 species
CAGUCGCCACGGUAAUACGUAGGGUGCGAGCGUUAAUCGGAAUUACUGGGCGUAAAGCGUGCGCAGGCGGUUCGUUAAGACAGAUGUGAAAUCCCCGGGCUUGACCUGGGAACUGCAUUUGUGACUGGCGAGCUAGAGUAUGGCAGAGGGGGGUGGAAUUCCGCGUGUAGCAGUGAAAUGCGUAGAUAUGCGGAGGAACACCGAUGGCGAAGGCAGCCCCCUGGGCCAAUACUGACGCUCAUGCACGAAAGCGUGGGGAGCAAAUGGGAUUAGAUACCCCAGUAGUCCCUGUCUCUUAUAC